UACGUAGGUGGCAAGCGUUGUUCGGAAUUAUUGGGCGUAAAGGGCGCGUAGGCGGUCGAUUAAGUCAGCUGUGAAAGCCCGGGGCUCAACCCCGGAGGGUCGGCUGAUACUGGUUGACUAGAGUACGGAAGAGGUAGCUGGAAUUCCCGGUGUAGCGGUGAAAUGCGUAGAUAUCAGGAGGAACACCGGUGGUGUAGACGGCUCACUGGACCGUAACUGACGCUGAGACACGAAAGCGUGGGUAGCAAACAGG
rnacentral:rRNA from 1 species